rnacentral:lncRNA from 1 species
AAAGUUUAAUCAUUUGGUUGUAGAUUAUAGGGCUGAUUUUCUUUUUUAUUUGUAUCUAAUUGUUAAUUGUUGAUGUACUUUCUCAGGGUCCCAUUGGAGAGCAUGUGUCUACAUUUUACGACUUCAAGACGUUCAACAUCAACAAUAUAAUUUUUAGUCGAGACAAGGUUUUGUAUUUGAUAUAGAAUCAAGAUGUUAAAUUUUAGACACCUUAGGUUGAUUGAAUAUUUUUAAUGAAUUGAUAUGUUGAAAAACUAAUCUCAA